rnacentral:rRNA from 2 species
GGGUUGUGAGGUUAAGCGACUAAGCGUACACGGUGGAUGCCCUGGCAGUCAGAGGCGAUGAAGGGCGUGCUAAUCUGCGAUAAGCGCCGGUAAGGUGAUAUGAACCGUUAUAACCGGCGAUACCCGAAUGGGGAAACCCAGUGUGACUCGUCACACUAUCAUUAACUGAAUCCAUAGGUUAAUGAGGCGAACCGGGGGAACUGAAACAUCUAAGUACCCCGAGGAA